UUUCUAGUAAAAUAAUAUUUUAAGAUGAUUUGCUGAAUUAUAAAUCAUAACAAAAGGCUCAAUAGCCGUUAGCAUUAGCUCAGCAGAUAGCCUGCUAGCACUUAAAUUGUUUUAAAACCAAAUAUAAGAAAAAUGCAGUGGAACAAAUUACAUUUAUUUAGUUUUAUCCUAAACAAAUGUUUUCUGCCCAGACACAAUCUCUUACAUGAACUGUUCUGAUGAAUUGGAGUGAAGAAGGUCCAAAGAACAUUGAGUUGGGCUGAAAGUGGGCAGCUAGUUCUGACCCCUUAGUUGCGUGGUGGGCAGCUCACUGUAGCUGCUUGGGGGACCUUUGCAUGGGCUGGUAUACAUGGCAGGUGGAAAGGACUGCAAUUUCCAAGCCAUCUUCUCUCAGGUCUGUAGAAAGGAAACCGCUUGUCGACGUCUUUUUGAGGAAUCAGUGACUCUGGAUUCUUUCCUGCAGCUCAGACAAAACAAUUUCAGCCAGUUUGUCUUAUUUUUUUCGGCCGUUACAAAGUUGCCGAAUACACAGGCAGCAAACCGGGAAUUAGAGAAGUUACGAAAAUAGCGGCGCAAUCGCAAGCUGCUACUUCCGAAUGUGACAUCAUCAAGUCUGCGGUUCAUUCGCCAUCUUGUUGAUGUCCAAAUGACUGUCUUAUUGGGAAAGCAGAUACAGCCACAGCCACCUGCAGUUCUGUAGAGGGCUUCUCAGGAGUAGACAUUCUUGGUACUUCCUGGAUUCUUCCUGAAACCUUCUUUACUGCAACUGAGCCGCACCAUGACGUUUUCCAUGCUGCAGAAAGCUGUUCUUUCAGGAAAUUUCAAGUCCUGGUUUCAAGUCCCUGCGACCUUCGGCUCAGGCUCAAAGUCCUCAGUUUCGAUUCUGCCUCAGCCCAAGUACUCAAGCCUCAGAAGAAACCCAUUUUGGAUUGAGCUCUGGCUGACAGCUCCAAAACCUACAUCUACAGGCAAGCGAAGCCUGCUCACCCUCCACCAUUUACUUCACCGAAUCCUCACCAGCAACGUCUAUUCAGUCCUCGCAGGCUCCGCAUCAUUCUUCCACUCUAACCACC